UACAGGGGGUGCAAACGUUGCUCGGAAUUAUUGGGUGUAAAGCGUGCGCAGGCGGUUUCGUAAGUCUGUCGUGAAAUCCCCGGGCUCAACCUGGGAAUGGCGAUGGAGACUGCAAGGCUAGAGUUUGGCAGAGGGGGGUAGAAUUCCACGUGUAGCAGUGAAAUGCGUAGAUAUGUGGAGGAACACCGAUGGCGAAGGCAGCCCCCUGGGUCAAAACUGACGCUCAUGCACGAAAGCGUGGGGAGCAAACAGG
rnacentral:rRNA from 1 species